UACGUGGGGGGCGAGCGUUGUUCGGAAUUAUUGGUCGUAAAGGGCGCGUAGGCGGUCGGAUAAGUCUUGUGUGAAAUCUUCGGGCUCAACUCGAAGUCUGCACAGGAAACUAUCUGGCUUGAGUGUGGGAGAGGUGAGUGGAAUUCCUGGUGUAGCGGUGAAAUGCGUAGAUAUCAGGAGGAACACCUGUGGCGAAAGCGGCUCACUGGACCACAACUGACGCUGAGGCGCGAAAGCUAGGGGAGCAAACAGG
rnacentral:rRNA from 1 species